GGGAGAAAGAGUCUUGUUUCCCUUGGCUUAAUCAAACCUAUACACAGUACAUGUAUAUAUAAACAUAGGGUCAAGUGACCCAAACCCAAAACUCCCUUGACCAACUCUAUGGGAGAUUAGGUUAAUCCAAGCCCAUGUACACCCAUGACUCGACCUAAUCUCACCUAUCCUAGGCCUAGACCUAGCCCAUAAAGAGUUGAUCCCUUGAGGCCCACAUAACC
rnacentral:lncRNA from 1 species